CCGGAAUGUUCUUUGAGGGUUCUACUGUAUGUAGAGGAGGAGUGACAAAGCGAUUUUCAAGCAAUUUGCAAGUGAUUUUAAGCAAUCAAAAAAAUGGCGCAGAUUUCCAGCAAGCCCAUGGAGAUUCCAUCGUCUGAUGAGGAGGACAUCGUCCUAUUGAUGCAGAUAAAGAACAGUGCCCCGGCGUUCAGACCCGGAAGAUUCCCAAAAAAGGUUUCUAAAAUGCCGUACAUAAGCGAAGUAACAGAACUUCGAGGGGACAUCCCACCAGCCCGAAAGAGGAAGAAAAGAAAGAGGAGACAAACUAACUCUUCAGUCGCAUUGGAUGCAGACACUAUAAGAUUCAAGACUAAAGUGAUAACAACGAAGCGAGCCUUCAGACCAGAUCAAUAUCCGAAAAAGGUCUCCAGAGCAACACCACUGCAAAACAUCAUUGAAAGAGCUGCAGAGGAAUGGGAGGCCAGAAAACCAGAAAAUACUGUGGAGAAGAUGGAUGGAGGGAUGGAAAGAUCGGAGAAGAAGGAGUAUGGAGGAAUGGAAAGAUCAGAGGAGAAGGAGGAUGGAGGAAUGGAAAGAUCAGAGGAGAAGGAGGAUGGAGGAAUGGAAAGAUCAGAGGAGAAGGAGGAUGGAGGAAUGGAAAGAUCAGAGGAGAAGGAGGAUGGAGGAAUGGAAAGAUCAGAGGAGAAGGAGGAUGGAGGAAUGGAAAGAUCAGAGGAGAAGGAGGAUGGAGGAAUGGAAAGAUCAGAGGAGAAGGAGGAUGGAGGAAUGGAAAGAUCAGAGGAGAAGGAGGAUGGAGGAAUGGAAAGAUCAGAGGAGGAGGAGGAUGGAGGAAUGGAAAGAUCAGAGGAGGAGGAGGAUGGAGGAAUGAAAAGAUCAGAGGAGAAGGAGGAUGGAGGAAUGGAAAGAUCAGAGGAGAAGGAGGAUGGAGGAAUGGAAAGAUCAGAGGAGGAGGAGGAUGGAGGAAUGGAAAGAUCAGAGGAGGAGGAGGAUGGAGGAAUGGAAAGAUCAGAGGAGAAGGAGGAUGGAGGAAUGGAAAGAUCAGAGGAGGAGGAGGAUGGAGGAAUGAUGAUACAGAAAGAGACAGCAAGAGAGGAAGAGACUGUGAUUUUUAGAACACCAAGUGGCCGGUCCAGACAACGACUGAGGGACAUAUUCCGCUCCAUAUUCUGCUGUUGUUGCUGCAAAACCAGCGACUAGAAAAAAACAAAUACAAAAAGAAAAAAAAAUAGAUAAAAAGAACAAAAGCUAAAAAAAAAAUAAAAAAAAAAAAAAAAAACUUGUGCACCAUCUACCACCUACCUGACAGCUCAGAGUACUGUGCUCAAUCUACCACCUACAUGAAAGCUCGGAGUAACUGUGCACCAUCCACCACCUACCUGACAGCUCAGAGUACUGUGCAUCAGACAAAAAAAAUAAAAAAUAAAAAUAAAAAAAAGAAAAAAAACCAAAAAAAAAACCUGUGCACCAUCCACCACCUACCUGACAGCUUCAAGUACUGUGCACCAUCCACCACCUACCUGACAGCUCAGAGUACUGUGCAUCAGACAAAAAAAAAAAAUAAAAAAAAAUAAAGAAAA